rnacentral:rRNA from 1 species
GGGGGGGGGCCUAUAAUGCAAGUCGAGCGCGGGAAGCGAACGGAAUCCUUCGGGAGGAAGUUCGUGGAACGAGCGGCGGACGGGUGAGUAACACGUGGGCAACCUGCCUGUAAGACUGGGAUAACCCCGGGAAACCGGGGCUAAUACCGGAUAAUACAUGGUUUCGCAUGAAACCAUGUUGAAAGAUGGCUUUUACGCUAUCACUUACAGAUGGGCCCGCGGCGCAUUAGCUAGUUGGUAAGGUAACGGCUUACCAAGGCAACGAUGCGUAGCCGACCUGAGAGGGUGAUCGGCCACACUGGGACUGAGACACGGCCCAGACUCCUACGGGAGGCAGCAGUAGGGAAUCUUCCGCAAUGGACGAAAGUCUGACGGAGCAACGCCGCGUGAACGAAGAAGGUUUUCGGAUCGUAAAGUUCUGUUGUUAGGGAAGAACAAGUGCCGUUCGAAUAGGGCGGCACCUUGACGGUACCUAUCGAGGAAGCCCCGGCUAACUACGUGCCAGCAGCCGCGGUAAUACGUAGGGGGCAAGCGUUGUCCGGAAUUAUUGGGCGUAAAGCGCGCGUAGGCGGUUUCUUAAGUCUGAUGUGAAAUCUUGCGGCUCAACCGCAAGCGGUCAUUGGAAACUGGGGAACUUGAGUGCAGAAGAGGAGAGUGGAAUUCCACGUGUAGCGGUGAAAUGCGUAGAUAUGUGGAGGAACACCAGUGGCGAAGGCGACUCUCUGGUCUGUAACUGACGCUGAGGUGCGAAAGCGUGGGGAGCGAACAGGAUUAGAUACCCUGGUAGUCCACGCCGUAAACGAUGAGUGCUAGGUGUUAGGGGGUUUCCGCCCCUUAGUGCUGCAGUUAACGCAUUAAGCACUCCGCCUGGGGAGUACGGCCGCAAGGCUGAAACUCAAA